rnacentral:rRNA from 1 species
GACGAACGCUGGCGGCGUGCUUAACACAUGCAAGUCGAACGGAAAGGCCCUGCUUUUGUGGGGUGCUCGAGUGGCGAACGGGUGAGUAACACGUGAGUAACCUGCCCUUGACUUUGGGAUAACUUCAGGAAACUGGGGCUAAUACCGGAUAGGAGCUCCUGCUGCAUGGUGGGGGUUGGAAAGUUUCGGCGGUUGGGGAUGGACUCGCGGCUUAUCAGCUUGUUGGUGGGGUAGUGGCUUACCAAGGCUUUGACGGGUAGCCGGCCUGAGAGGGUGACCGGCCACAUUGGGACUGAGAUACGGCCCAGACUCCUACGGGAGGCAGCAGUGGGGAAUAUUGCACAAUGGGCGGAAGCCUGAUGCAGCAACGCCGCGUGCGGGAUGACGGCCUUCGGGUUGUAAACCGCUUUCGCCUGUGACGAAGCGUGAGUGACGGUAAUGGGUAAAGAAGCACCGGCUAACUACGUGCCAGCAGCCGCGGUGAUACGUAGGGUGCGAGCGUUGUCCGGAUUUAUUGGGCGUAAAGGGCUCGUAGGUGGUUGAUCGCGUCGGAAGUGUAAUCUUGGGGCUUAACCCUGAGCGUGCUUUCGAUACGGGUUGACUUGAGGAAGGUAGGGGAGAAAUGAAAUUCCUGGUGGAGCGGUGGAAUGCGCAGAUAUCAGGAGGAACACCAGUGGCGAAGGCGGUUCUCUGGGCCUUUCCUGACGCUGAGGAGCGAAAGCGUGGGGAGCGAACAGGCUUAGAUACCCUGGUAGUCCACGCUGUAAACGGUGGGUACUAGGUGUGGGGUCCAUUCCACGGGUUCCGUGCCGUAGCUAACGCUUUAAGUACCCCGCCUGGGGAGUACGGCCGCAAGGCCAAAACUCAAAGGAAUUGACGGGGCCCCGCACAAGCGGCGGAGCAUGCGGAUUAAUUCGAUGCAACGCGUAGAACCUUACCUGGGUUUGACAUGGAUCGGGAGUGCUCAGAGAUGGGUGUGCCUCUUUUGGGGUCGGUUCACAGGUGGUGCAUGGCUGUCGUCAGCUCGUGUCGUGAGAUGUUGGGUUAAGUCCCGCAACGAGCGCAACCCUUGUUCACUGUUGCCAGCACGUUAUGGUGGGGACUCAGUGGAGACCGCCGGGGUCAACUCGGAGGAAGGUGGGGAUGACGUCAAGUCAUCAUGCCCCUUAUGUCCAGGGCUUCACGCAUGCUACAAUGGCUGGUACAGAGAGUGGCGAGCCUGUGAGGGUGAGCGAAUCUCGGAAAGCCGGUCUCAGUUCGGAUUGGGGUCUGCAACUCGACCUCAUGAAGUCGGAGUCGCUAGUAAUCGCAGAUCAGCAACGCUGCGGUGAAUACGUUCCCGGGGCU